rnacentral:misc_RNA from 1 species
GAUGAAGAACGUAGCGAAAUGCGAUAAGUAAUGUGAAUUGCAGAAUUCAGUGAAUCAUCGAAUCUUUGAACGCACCUUGCACCCUUCGGACUGCUCCAAAGGGUAUGCUCGUUUGAGUGUCAUUGUACUCUCACACUCUCUGAUCCUUUGGAUUUGGGGAGCAGUGGACUUGGGUGCUUGCUGCUUCCUUGUGGCUCACCUGAAAUGCAUCAGUGCAUCUCUCGAUUGGACAUAGUACGGCGUGAUAAGUGUCUUCGCCGGCACCUCAUAUGAGGGUGGCCGAUCGGGAGCUCUGUGCUUUCAAACCGUCUUCGGACAACGCUGACAACUUGACCUCAAAUCGAGUAGGACUACCCGCUGAACUUAAGCAUAUCAAUAAGCGGAGGA